UAAUUUAACCAUACCACCCUGCAUCCCACUGCUGGUUUGCCACUGAAGCUAAGCAGGGUCGGUCCUGGUCGGUCUAUGGAUGGGAGACCAGAUGCUGGAAGUGGUGUUGGAAGGC
ensembl:rRNA 5S_rRNA 5S ribosomal RNA